GCCAACUAGCUGGAGGACGGAAGGGUGGCCCGCGGACUGAGGAGGGGCAGGGCAGGUGCCCAGUCCAGAGAGGAGGAGUUGAAGAUGACAAGGGGACUGGAUCCACCCUGAGGAGCCACGGGUCAACAUCCUGUUUCCGGCAAGCUCUCUGGGAGGCCACACAGAGGGGUGUUUGUUCGCAUUGGGCAGGCGAGGAGAGAUGCUAAUCGCUUGGAUGCUGGUCCCAGCUGAAGGUCAGGAGGUCAAACUCAGGACAGAGAGCUUGUUUCCCUCGGGCAGCAUGGAAGCUGGGCUGCACCUAGCCGGGAGAGGCCAGACACCCUCUGCUUGCUCCAUAACCUCCAUCGCUUCUCCUUGCUCCUGCGGCCUCCAUCUUGCUUCCAGGCCUAGAACUCGGGUUCCCCGUGCACUCCAGCCCGAGGCUGGCCAGCACUGGUUACCCAGAUGGCCCUUGCAGUGGGAAGAUGGGCUAGUGUGGAAGACUGCAGGAGAGGCAG